UACGUAGGUGGCAAGCGUUGUCCGGAAUUACUGGGUGUAAAGGGCGUGUAGGCGGGACAUUAAGUCAGAUGUGAAAUUCAGAGGCUCAACCUCUGAACUGCAACUGAAACUAAGGUUCUUGAGUACUGGAGAGGAAAGCGGAAUUCCUAGUGUAGCGGUGAAAUGCGUAGAUAUUAGGAGGAACACCAGUGGCGAAGGCGGCUUUCUGGACAGUAACUGACGCUGAGGCGCGAAAGCGUGGGGAGCAAACAGG
rnacentral:rRNA from 1 species